rnacentral:pre_miRNA from 1 species
AGUGGAAUAACUGGAUCAUAUGGUAGUUUUGUUUUUAGUUUUUUAGCAACCUUCAUAGUAUUUUCCAUAGUGGAUGUACCAAUUUACAUUUCCACAAAUAGU